AACAUCUUCAGUGAAAGUGCACACAGUGAACGUUUCAAUGGCAAGAACAAAAACAAUCUGUGAAUGUCCUAUUACAGACGGAAAGGUACAAAAAAAGAUGUGCAAUCUAGCAAGUGCACACAUGAACUAUAAACAGUACUAAAAUGGAAGUGGUGCCAUAAGAUCUCAGUAAUUAAUCAGACACCACCAUCUAUUGUGUGUGCAUUUGUGUAUGAGAAGUUUGUUUGUAUUUUUUUUCUUUUUAUGAGAGAAGAGGCAUUGACAUAGAAUGGAAGCAUUAGUCAAAAAGGUGUAUAAUCUAGCAAAUGCACACACAAUAAAUUAAAUCACGACAUCAUUAAAAUAUUUCCACUUAAAUGAGUUAUACCUUUGUGCAUCCUUUGGAAAUCGAUGAAAUGCCAAAUCGCUCCUGGUGGACUGGUAAUUUUUGCAAUUUAUUGCAGAACACUGCUUGCGUUUUGACCACUUGCUCAUCUUCUUCACAGUUUGGUUGUGUGGCGCGCUAACGAUUUCAGCAGCUUUCAGUCCAUAAUGGUGGCCGCGCUUCCGCAGCGCCAUCUACAGACUGUUACCCAUAACACAACAGAGUUUCGCCUCUUGGGCUUCUAUACUCUGUGGUGUUAAAUGUAUGCAUCAUCUUUUGUGUCAAAUUCUUACAAUUUAAUCAGUCAUUUAAAUGAGAGUAACAACACACAAUAGAGCUGAUGAAUUCGUAUCAAAAUUAAUCUUUUCAAUGCUCACUUGGAGUGAAUGAUAACUUAAUUAAUAGCCUACCUAUUAAGAAUUCAUUAAUAAUGCCUUGAUUUUAAACAUAACGUUAAAACAAUAAAUAUAAAUAAUUAAAACUGUACGUUAAAUGUGAAAACCUAAUCAAACUUAAAACCUAAUCAAAAUCAAAAUAAGAGUCAAUGAUCAUGACACAAACACAUUUUAAGCCUCAGUGUUUUCAACAUCUAGGGCUUCUGCGGCCUCGAUAAGGUCCAGGGAUUCUGCAUCCUCGGCUGUAUCCAGGGAUUUUGCGGCCUCAGUUGGAUCCACGGCCUCAAGUUUCAGCACACGAUGAUGAAUAUGCUGGACUUUUAAUGUAAUUGGCAGCUGUUGAAUCAAGUCAUUUAUAUUGCCAUGGUAAAAAUGGCUUGGUACAGCAUAGUCUUCUAGCUCACUGUCCAACAGGAUGAGCAUAUUAUUAUCAUCCUCGUACACUCUGAUAAUUGUCAGCACUGCUUCACGGAUCUGGCGCUCUACGAUCUGGUGAAAAAUAAAGGUUAAGUCGUAUAGUUGGAGGAGUCAAAUUUGCCUCCUCCAUUGGGCCGAAUUUUUGCCCUUAGGUGGCUGACCUCCACCUUAUCCCCGACGUACAGGUCCAUCAGCGCCUCUUCUCUCCACAAAGUUACCUCCAGAAGUUUUGUUCCAGACCUCAAAGAAAGGUCCAGGAGGGGAUACUGGGCCCGAGUCAUCCUGGCCACUUGCAACUGGAAAAUACCAGCCCAGUGUCACAGAUGAGCGUUUCUCAGUCCUGGUCCAGGUGUCCCCAACGCUGAAUAUUUUCUGUGUAUUCCCAAUCAAGACUCAGGUACCCAGGGCUUGUGAAGAUCUCCUGUUCUUCCCCAGUUACAAAUGGGGAAGGAGGAUAGAGGACCUCUUUAGCAGCUCUCUCUGCCUCCUCGGUUAUGGCCAAUGGGGAGGUUUUAUAUUUCCUGCCUGACCGGUUUAAAAAAAUACACUGCCGGCCAUAUUGUUUUGAAAGGGUAAGAUUUUUGAUGAUGUACGACCCACCUUCUUCAAACUCUGGGUCACUUCCAGUUUUUAUCGAGGUGUACCAUGUCUGUCCAUCAGUAAGGACUGACAGUGUGAUCACCUUGUGUGCUCCAACAUCAAUUAUAUUGUCUUUGGUGACGAAAUUUAAAGCCUUCUGGCUCCUGCGGCUACCCACACACUUUACUUUUAGCGGUGCUUGCUGACUGUAGGGGGUCGCCAUCCUAAGAAUAAUACAAAAAAAAAGGGUAUGGUUAUAACUUUCAUAAUGUUUUCAUUGACUUUCUAAAACAUGAAAAUAUCAUGAUACAUGACCUGUAUAUAUAGCCAACUUAUAACAUAUCAUUACUAAUUUAUUAUUGAUAUAUUUUUCUUUCCAUAUUCUAUUACUGUACUUUAUUGCAUUAUAUCUUUUUCAUUGUCUUUAUAUUGUGUCAUUUAAUUUGUGUAAUUAUCUUUUUUUAACUUCAUAUUUCACAGAAAUUCAUUCAUUCAUGUUGUUGUAUUUAUAGUUUAGUUUAGAUUUAUUAAAGUCAAUGAUAAAAUUUCUAAUGAAGUAAAGUUUGACCUCAGAAAAUGAACUCAACCUUAGCCAUAACCCUAUGGACGGCCCCUUUUCCAAUCCCUAACAGAUUUUUUUAUUUAAUAAAUAUUUACAUCACAAGAAAUGUUAAUCAACUUCCAAUUAAUAAAUUAAUCGCGUCAAUACAUUUCUUGUGAAGUAAAAAUUUACCUCAGAGAAUUACAUUUCCUGCCAGGAAGUGGAAAAAGAGCAGCCUCUGACAGGAUUCAUUUUUUAAACUUCAUACUCUGACAGGACUUCUCUCUUUUUUUACUUAAUAUUUCACAGGAAUCUAUUUAUUUAUUCAUGUAGUUGAUUUAUAAAUUGA